rnacentral:rRNA from 1 species
UACGGAGGGUGCAAGCGUUUAUCCGGAUUCACUGGGUUUAAAAGGGUGCGUAGGUGGGUUGGUAAGUCAGUGGUGAAAUCCCCCGAGCUUAACUUGGGAACUGCCAUUGAUACUAUCAGUCUUGAAUAUUUGUGGAGGUUAGCGGAAUAUGUCAUGUAGCGGUGAAAUGCUUAGAUAUGACUAGAACACCAAUUGCGAAAGGCAGCUGGCUACGGCAUAUAUUACACUGAGGCACGAAAGCGUGGGGAUCAAACAGGG